GGGGUUGUAGCUCAGUGGUAGAGCACUUGCCUUGAGUGCAUAAGGCCCUGGGUUCGAUCCUCAGCACCA
rnacentral:tRNA from 1 species